rnacentral:rRNA from 1 species
UUAUUUGAGAAGGUAACGGUUCACCCAAGGUUACGAGGUUUAGGGGCUUUGAGAGGAGAUUCCCCCAACAUUGGUACUGAGACACGGACCAGAUUCUUACGGGAGGCAGCAGUAAGGAAUAUUGGUCAAUGGAGGCAACUCUGAACCAGCCAUGCCGCGUGCAGGAUGACUGCCCUAUGGGUUGUAAACUGCUUUNGUCAGGGAAUAAACCUUUCUACGUGUAGAAAGCUGAAUGUACNUGAAGAAUAAGGAUCGGCUAACUCCGUGCCAGCAGCCGCGGUAAUACGGAGGAUCCAAGCGUUAUCCGGAUUUAUUGGGUUUAAAGGGUGCGUAGGCGGUCCUAUAAGUCAGUGGUGAAAGACGGCAGCUUAACUGUCGCAGUGCCUUUGAUACUGUAGGACUUGAAUCUAUUUGAAGUGGGCGGAAUAAGACAAGUAGCGGUGAAAUGCAUAGAUAUGUCUUAGAACUCCGAUUGCGAAGGCAGCUCACUAAGUUAGUAUUGACGCUGAUGCACGAAAGCGUGGGGAUCAAACAGGAUUAGAUACCCUGGUAGUCCACGCCCUAAACGAUGAUAACUCGAUGUUUGCGAUACACAGUAAGCGUCCAAGCGAAAGCGUUAAGUUAUCCACCUGGGGAGUACGGUCGCAAGAUUGAAACUCAAAGGAAUUGACGGGGGCCCGCACAAGCGGAGGAGCAUGUGGUUUAAUUCGAUGAUACGCGAGGAACCUUACCCGGGCUUGAAAGUUAGUGAAUGAUCCAGAGACGGAUCAGUCCUUCGGGACACGAAACUAGGUGCUGCAUGGCUGUCGUCAGCUCGUGCCGUGAGGUGUUGGGUUAAGUCCCGCAACGAGCGCAACCCCUAUGUUUAGUUGCCAGCAUGUAAUGAUGGGGACUCUAAACAGACUGCCAGCGUAAGCUGUGAGGAAGGUGGGGACGACGUCAAGUCAUCAUGGCCCUUACGUCCGGGGCUACACACGUGCUACAAUGGACGGUACAGCGGGCAGCUACAUAGCAAUAUGAUGCUAAUCUCUAAAAGCCGUUCACAGUUCGGAUUGAGGUCUGCAACUCGACCUCAGAAGUGGAUCGCUGAUCGU